rnacentral:rRNA from 1 species
AUUGAACGCUGGCGGCAGGCUUAACACAUGCAAGUCGAGCGAGCGGCGGACGGGUGAGUAAUGUCUGGGAAACUGCCUGAUGGAGGGGGAUAACUACUGGAAACGGUAGCUAAUACCGCAUACCAUCAGAUGGGCCCAGAUGGGAUUAGCUAGUAGGUGGGGUAAUGGCUCACCUAGGCGACAAUCUCUAGCUGGUCUGAGAGGCUGAUAAGCCACACUGGGACUGAGACACGGCCCAGACUCCUACGGGAGGCAGCAGUGGGGAAUAUUGCACAAUGGGAGCAAGCCUGAUGCAGCCAUGCCGCGUGUAUGAAGAAGGCCUUCGGGUGGUAAAGUACUUUCAUCGGGGAGGCGUUACCCGCAGAAGAAGCACCGGCUAACUCCGUGCCAGCAGCCGCGGUAAUUC